rnacentral:lncRNA from 12 species
GCUGACUAUGACUCAGGAACACAUGGGCCCACAUCCACACUCACAGGAUCCUGGCUUCCUCAGGACCCCCUGGAGGACUCUGGAGGUGCCGUUGGGGGCCACGUCCACAUCAGAAGGGACUACUCAGAACCACAGGAACCCACUGUGAAGGUUUGGGAAGAUUAUGGGCCACAUCCAUGCUGACAGGAGCCCCGAGCCUCCUCAGGUCUUAUGGUGAGGCUUGAGGAAAAUGUGGGGCCACGUCAACCCUGACAGGAACCCCGUCCUCCUCAGGACCAGCACUUUGGCUUCAGGACAUA